rnacentral:rRNA from 1 species
CUGGGCGUAAAGCGCGCGCAGGCGGCUAUUUAAGUUGGAUGUGAAAGCCUACGGCUCAACCGUAGAACUGCAUCCAAAACUAUUUAGCUAGAGUGUGGGAGAGGAAGAUGGAAUUAGUUGUGUAGGGGUAAAAUCCGUAGAGAUAACUAGGAAUACCAAAAGCGAAGGCAAUCUUCUGGAACACUACUGACGCUGAGGCGCGAAGGCGUGGGGAGCAAACAGGAUUAGAUACCCUGGUAGUCCACGCAGUAAACGAUGAAUGUUAGUCGUCGGGUAGCUAGUCUAUUCGGUGAUGCAGCUAACGCAUUAAACAUUCCGCCUGGGGAGUACGGUCGCAAGAUUAAAACUCAAAGGAAUAGACGGGGACCCGCACAAGUGGUGGAGCAUGUGGUUUAAUUCGAAGAUACGCGAAGAACCUUACCUAGCCUUGACAUAUAUUAGAACUCACCAGAGAUGGAGAGGUGCCUUCGGGAGCUUUUAUACAGGUGCUGCACGGCUGUCGUCAGCUCGUGUCGUGAGAUGUUGGGUUAAGUCCCGCAACGAGCGCAACCCUCGUCACUAGUUACUAACGGUUCGGCCGAGGACUCUAGUGAGACUGCCUUCGUAAGGAGGAGGAAGGUGAGGACGACGUCAAGUCAUCAUGGCCCUUACGGCUAGGGCAACACACGUGCUACAAUGGCCAGGACAAUGAGAAGCGAUACCGCGAGGUGGAGCAAAUCUAUAAACCUGGUCUCAGUUCGGAUUGUAGUCUGCAACUCGACUACAUGAAGCUGGAAUCACUAGUAAUCGUAGAUCAGCUAUGCUACGGUGAAUACGUUCCCGGGUCUUGUACUCACCGCCCGUCACACCAUGGGAGUUGAUUUCACCCGAAGCGGGGAAGCUAAACUGGCUACCCUCCACGGUGGAAUUAGCGACUGGGGUGAAGUCGUAACAAGGUA